GGCGGCGUGCUUAACACAUGCAAGUCGAGCGGAAAGGCCCUUCGGGGGUACUCGAGCGGCGAACGGGUGAGUAACACGUGAGUAACCUGCCCCUGACUCUGGGAUAAGCCCGGGAAACUGGGUCUAAUACCGGAUACGACCGCCCCUGGCAUCGGGUGGUGGUGGAAAGUUUUUUCGGUUGGGGAUGGACUCGCGGCCUAUCAGCUUGUUGGUGGGGUAGUGGCCUACCAAGGCGACGACGGGUAGCCGGCCUGAGAGGGCGACCGGCCACACUGGGACUGAGACACGGCCCAGACUCCUACGGGAGGCAGCAGUGGGGAAUAUUGCGCAAUGGGCGGAAGCCUGACGCAGCGACGCCGCGUGGGGGAUGACGGCCUUCGGGUUGUAAACCUCUUUCAGCAGGGACGAAGUUGACGUGUACCUGCAGAAGAAGCGCCGGCUAACUACGUGCCAGCAGCCGCGGUAAUACGUAGGGCGCAAGCGUUGUCCGGAAUUAUUGGGCGUAAAGAGCUCGUAGGUGGCUGGUCGCGUCUGCCGUGAAAGCCCGCAGCUUAACUGCGGGUCUGCGGUGGAUACGGGCCGCUUAGAGGUAGGUAGGGGCAAGUGGAAUUCCUGGUGUAGCGGUGAAAUGCGCAGAUAUCAGGAGGAACACCGGUGGCGAAGGCGGCUUGCUGGGCCUUACCUGACGCUGAGGAGCGAAAGCGUGGGGAGCGAACAGGAUUAGAUACCCUGGUAGUCCACGCUGUAAACGUUGGGCGCUAGGUGUGGGGGUCUUCCACGAUUCCGUGCCGGACGUAACGCAUUAAGCGCCCCGCCUGGGGAGUACGGCCGC
rnacentral:rRNA from 1 species